rnacentral:rRNA from 1 species
UUAAGCGACUAAGCGUACACGGUGGAUGCCCUGGCAGUCAGAGGCGAUGAAGGGCGUGCUAAUCUGCGAUAAGCGCCGGUAAGGUGAUAUGAACCGUUAUAACCGGCGAUACCCGAAUGGGGAAACCCAGUGUGACUCGUCACACUAUCAUUAACUGAAUCCAUAGGUUAAUGAGGCGAACCGGGGGAACUGAAACAUCUAAGUACCCCGAGGAAAAGAAAUCAACCGAGAUUCCCCCAGUAGCGGCGAGCGAACGGGGAGGAGCCCAGAGCCUGAAUCAGCAUGUGUGUUAGUGGAAGCGUCUGGAAAGGCGCGCGAUACAGGGUGACAGCCCCGUACACAAAAGCGCAUGUGCUGUGAGCUCGAUGAGUAGGGCGGGACACGUGGUAUCCUGUCUGAAUAUGGGGGGACCAUCCUCCAAGGCUAAAUACUCCUGACUGACCGAUAGUGAACCAGUACCGUGAGGGAAAGGCGAAAAGAACCCCGGCGAGGGGAGUGAAAAAGAACCUGAAACCGUGUACGUACAAGCAGUGGGAGCCCCACCACUAAGCCAGUGGUGAACUCCACAUACGCAUCCUUUGCUGAGGAUACGGUUAACGGAGCGAAAGCGACGUUCAACCGCAAAACAAGCAGAGGGGGCUUAGUGGUGGGGUGACUGCGUACCUUUUGUAUAAUGGGUCAGCGACUUAUAUUCUGUAGCAAGGUUAACCGUAUAGGGGAGCCGGAGGGAAACCGAGUCUUAACUGGGCGUUAAGUUGCAGGGUAUAGACCCGAAACCCGGUGAUCUAGCCAUGGGCAGGUUGAAGGUUGGGUAACACUAACUGGAGGACCGAACCGACUAAUGUUGAAAAAUUAGCGGAUGACCUGUGGCUGGGGGUGAAAGGCCAAUCAAACCGGGAGAUAGCUGGUUCUCCCCGAAAGCUAUUUAGGUAGCGCCUCGUGAAUUCAUCUCCGGGGGUAGAGCACUGUUUCGGCUAGGGGGCCAUCCCGGCUUACCAACCCGAUGCAAACUGCGAAUACCGGAGAAUGUUAUCACGGGAGACACACGGCGGGUGCUAACGUCCGUCGUGAAGAGGGAAACAACCCAGACCGCCAGCUAAGGUCCCAAAGUCAUGGUUAAGUGGGAAACGAUGUGGGAAGGCCCAGACAGCCAGGAUGUUGGCUUAGAAGCAGCCAUCAUUUAAAGAAAGCGUAAUAGCUCACUGGUCGAGUCGGCCUGCGCGGAAGAUGUAACGGGGCUAAACCAUGCACCGAAGCUGCGGCAGCGACACUGUGUGUUGUUGGGUAGGGGAGCGUUCUGUAAGCCUGCGAAGGUGGCCUGUGAGGGGUGCUGGAGGUAUCAGAAGUGCGAAUGCUGACAUAAGUAACGAUAAAGCGGGUGAAAAGCCCGCUCGCCGGAAGACCAAGGGUUCCUGUCCAACGUUAAUCGGGGCAGGGUGAGUCGACCCCUAAGGCGAGGCCGAAAGGCGUAGUCGAUGGGAAACGGGUUAAUAUUCCCGUACUCGGUGUUACUGCGAAGGGGGGACGGAGAAGGCUAUGUUGGCCGGGCGACGGUUGUCCCGGUUUAAGCGUGUAGGUGUGUGUUCCAGGUAAAUCCGGUUCACUUUAACACUGAGGCGUGACGACGAGGCACUACGGUGCUGAAGCAACAAAUGCCCUGCUUCCAGGAAAAGCCUCUAAGCAUCAGGUAACAUCAAAUCGUACCCCAAACCGACACAGGUGGUCAGGUAGAGAAUACCAAGGCGCUUGAGAGAACUCGGGUGAAGGAACUAGGCAAAAUGGUGCCGUAACUUCGGGAGAAGGCACGCUGACACGUAGGUGAAGUGAUUUACUCAUGGAGCUGAAGUCAGUCGAAGAUACCAGCUGGCUGCAACUGUUUAUUAAAAACACAGCACUGUGCAAACACGAAAGUGGACGUAUACGGUGUGACGCCUGCCCGGUGCCGGAAGGUUAAUUGAUGGGGUCAGCGCAAGCGAAGCUCCUGAUCGAAGCCCCGGUAAACGGCGGCCGUAACUAUAACGGUCCUAAGGUAGCGAAAUUCCUUGUCGGGUAAGUUCCGACCUGCACGAAUGGCGUAAUGAUGGCCAGGCUGUCUCCACCCGAGACUCAGUGAAAUUGAACUCGCUGUGAAGAUGCAGUGUACCCGCGGCAAGACGGAAAGACCCCGUGAACCUUUACUAUAGCUUGACACUGAACAUUGAGCCUUGAUGUGUAGGAUAGGUGGGAGGCUUUGAAGUGUGGACGCCAGUCUGCAUGGAGCCGACCUUGAAAUACCACCCUUUAAUGUUUGAUGUUCUAACGUGGACCCGUGAUCCGGGUUGCGGACAGUGUCUGGUGGGUAGUUUGACUGGGCGGUCUCCUCCUAAAGAGUAACGGAGGAGCACGAAGGUUGGCUAAUCCUGGUCGGACAUCAGGAGGUUAGUGCAAUGGCAUAAGCCAGCUUGACUGCGAGCGUGACGGCGCGAGCAGGUGCGAAAGCAGGUCAUAGUGAUCCGGUGGUUCUGAAUGGAAGGGCCAUCGCUCAACGGAUAAAAGGUACUCCGGGGAUAACAGGCUGAUACCGCCCAAGAGUUCAUAUCGACGGCGGUGUUUGGCACCUCGAUGUCGGCUCAUCACAUCCUGGGGCUGAAGUAGGUCCCAAGGGUAUGGCUGUUCGCCAUUUAAAGUGGUACGCGAGCUGGGUUUAGAACGUCGUGAGACAGUUCGGUCCCUAUCUGCCGUGGGCGCUGGAGAACUGAGGGGGGCUGCUCCUAGUACGAGAGGACCGGAGUGGACGCAUCACUGGUGUUCGGGUUGUCAUGCCAAUGGCACUGCCCGGUAGCUAAAUGCGGAAGAGAUAAGUGCUGAAAGCAUCUAAGCACGAAACUUGCCCCGAGAUGAGUUCUCCCUGAGACUUUAGGUCUCCUGAAGGAACGUUGAAGACGACGACGUUGAUAGGCCGGGUGUGUAAGCGCAGCGAUGCGUUGAGCUAACCGGUACUAAUGAACCGUGAGGCUUAACCUU